GAAAUGAACACGCGACAAAAAAUUGUGCUUAAUUAAACGAGGUAGCCCACACCUAUAUAAUACUCACCCCGCCCUAAUUACCCAACGAAACUAACCAAUCUACCACAUGUAAACCCCUAACCAACGAAUUAACCAGUGCAAAAACAAAAUUUCAAUAUAUCCUCAUCCAUACACACCACACGACCAAAUCAGAUUCUGACCAAGUAAAGGAAAGUGAGAAAGAAUUCUACAAAUAAACAAGUUUACCAAAAACAACUGUAAGCAAUAACAGGCUCCAAUUCAAACCAAGUGAAUUUGAGAAUUAGUACAAAGUCAGAAGCAUGGAACAUUUAACAAAGAGAACAUUAGGAAAUAAUUCCUUUCACUUACAUCUAAUGGAGCAUCUGAAAAAGUGGUUUAGAUUUGCAAAGGAAUUAUGAAAAAAGGCUAAAUCUGAUGGGAAGGCAAUACCUGGAGCUUUAACUGAAUUUCUAAAACAUCAGUUAAGGAUGGACCCAUUUAGACCCAUAUGGUACUAAAGAUAUAAUUUUCUAGAGAGAGUUAAAGUAUACAGCAAAUGUCUUAUAUUUGAUGCAAACCUCAAUAACCAGGACAGAGAUGACACCAAAACAACAAUUGGUUAAGCAAUGAAUACCCAGCAACCUGCCUUGAAAGAACAACAACAGCACACAUAGUACUGUGUAGCAUAUAAAAAAAAACAACAAAGAAUUAGA